GCCCGAGUACGCGGUCAGGCCCAGAUCCGAGACGAUGAACCACUGCGUCGCCAGCGAACUUGAAUCGUCGUCGCCGCCGGAGCCUGGCCCCUUGGCGGCGGGCGGCAUGCNNNNNNNUGUCGCCGACAGCCUGAUCGACCGGGAAUGCGGUGACCACGUCGGCGUUGAGUGUGGCGGCAGUCGCGACCUCUCCGGUCCAGACCUUGACGCCCUUCUCGUU
rnacentral:misc_RNA from 1 species